GGACGAACGCUGGCGGCGUGCUUAACACAUGCAAGUCGAACGGUGAAGCAGAGCUUGCUCUGUGGAUCAGUGGCGAACGGGUGAGUAACACGUGAGUAACCUGCCCUUGACUCUGGGAUAAGCGUUGGAAACGACGUCUAAUACCGGAUACGAGCUUCAGUCGCAUGGCUAGGAGCUGGAAAGAAUUUUGGUCAAGGAUGGACUCGCGGCCUAUCAGCNGUUGGUGAGGUAAUGGCCUACCAAGGCUUCGACGGGUAGCCGGCUGAGAGGGUGACCGGCCACACUGGGACUGAGACACGGCCCAGAC
rnacentral:rRNA from 1 species